rnacentral:tRNA from 1 species
GGCCCCGUCGUCUAGCGGCCUAGGACAUCUGGUUUUCAGCCAGAGAAUCAGGGGUUCGAAUCCCCUCGGGGUCA